rnacentral:sRNA from 1 species
ACCGCAUAGCGCAGUGGA